rnacentral:lncRNA from 1 species
GAAGAGGAAGAAGACGUCGAUCUCUUCAGUGGAUCGACCACCAGAUAAACACAAAAAAAAGUCCAAAAUGUCCUCAUCCUCUUCCCGCUCCGGUACUGGCGGAGAGAAAGUGAAGGCUUCUCACAUACUCAUUAAGCAUCAAGAUUCUCGUCGUAAAUCCUCUUGGAAGGAUCCAGAAGGCCGUGUUAUAUCUAACACAGCCAAAGAAGCGGCUGUCUCUCAGCUCAAAUCUCUUCGCGAAGACAUUGUUUCUGGAAAAGCUAAGUUUGAUGAUGUAGCCAAGAGUUAUUCUCACUGUAAUUCAGCUAAACACGGUGGUGAUUUGGGUUAGUAACUGUAACCCUAGCCUCCGGCAGCCCCCCUUUACUUCCGCUUUUUCGCCUUAUGCUGCUCCUGUUUAUGCUUUUUAUUUUGAUUACCGUGGUGUUGGGGCCAGCUUUUGUGCAGCUCAACUCAAUAUACGGGAUACCUGCCACCUUCCUAGUAUUUUACUUAACUCAGUCUACAAGGCUAGUAUAGAUAGGAAAAAAAUCACCUAGCGCUUUUUGUCUCCGCUGAGAUUUGAACCAGAGACCUCGUUGUUCUAACCCACUUCAGUCACCACUUGGCAAUACUAUUUAUGUGUCAUUGUGCGCCAAAUAUGCUUCUUUCAAACCAUCGG